GGUUUACAAGAGGUGGGACUGCAAAUGAUGCCUUGGUCCCCAGACUCCAGCUGGAUGGAGACCGAGCUUGGAUCUUGGUUCUUGGAUCUCUGCACCCAAGAGGAGCAGGCAGGAAAACUCCAUCAUCUCGUGGCCCUUGUGGUAUCUCCACCUCGCAUGUUCUACCUGCAUUAAACUGAGCUUAAUGGACUGCAAAACGAGUGUUUCAGCACGUAUGGGAGUGGGUUAUUUGCAAGAGGACAGGUUCCGCACGUCCCCUUCCCCCCAGCCCUGCCGUCCCCCGGGACCACGUGCGUCCAUCCACGUGGGGGACGAAGACAUCGCUAGCACAGCACAGCUCCAGAGCAAAUCCACGAAAAAGCCUUCCAAAAAGCCUUUGAGCCACCGAAGAGAAACACAUUAUUGCUCGUGCUGUGCCGGAGGCUGCGGGUUUGCUCUUUGGCUUCACGUUUUGCAGCUCCGUGCUGAUGCUGUGUGGCUCCAGGCUCCCUGCAGCAGGGACAGGGACGGUGUCCAGUGGGACUCAACUCACGACGUGCCACGUGCCAUAAUAACGAGGACAGAGGAAAGCAAUGCUCUCUGGAUGGGCUUUGCCACCGUUUGGAGGACAAUUUGGGGUAAAAAGUGGCACCAAAGUGCAACAUAGGGGUAAAUGUCCCCAGGAGGAAGGGGACUUUGUGCUGUGCAGGUUUCUCUUUUU